rnacentral:rRNA from 1 species
AUUGAACGCUGGCGGCAGGCCUAACACAUGCAAGUCGAGCGGAUGAAGGGAGCUUGCUCCUGGAUUCAGCGGCGGACGGGUGAGUAAUGCCUAGGAAUCUGCCUGGUAGUGGGGGAUAACGUCCGGAAACGGGCGCUAAUACCGCAUACGUCCUGAGGGAGAAAGUGGGGGAUCUUCGGACCUCACGCUAUCAGAUGAGCCUAGGUCGGAUUAGCUAGUUGGUGGGGUAAAGGCCUACCAAGGCGACGAUCCGUAACUGGUCUGAGAGGAUGAUCAGUCACACUGGAACUGAGACACGGUCCAGACUCCUACGGGAGGCAGCAGUGGGGAAUAGUGGAAAAUGGGCGGAAGCCUGAUCCAGCCAUGCCGCGUGUGUGAAGAAGGUCUUCGGAUUGUAAAGCACUUUAAGUUGGGAGGAAGGGCAGUAAGUUAAUACCUUGCUGUUUUGACGUUACCAACAGAAUAAGCACCGGCUAACUUCGUG